rnacentral:rRNA from 1 species
GCAAGUCGAACGCUCACUUCGGUGAGAGUGGCAGACGGGUGAGUAACGCGUGGGAAUAUACCUAUCAGUACGGAACAACAGUUGGAAACGACUGCUAAUACCGUAUACGCCCUUCGGGGGAAAGAUUCAUCGCUGAUAGAUUAGCCCGCGUUAGAUUAGCGAGGUGGUGGGGGAAAGGAGUACCAAGGCGACGAUCUAUAGGUGGUCUGAGAGGAUGAUC